ensembl:lincRNA Gm43086 predicted gene 43086
UUCGCUCUCAGACAGUGACAGUAGCCAUGGAACACUUAGCUGCUGCCUCCCGAAAGUGCAAGCAGACCAGUUCAGGAUCUGAAGCUUUGUUUUGGUUUGACUUAAAUUUGUCUCUAGUUUGUGUCAAGUUGACAAAAACUUGGCGAGAACACUGUGCAUCCAGAAGACGUAGUGGAUGGAGACUUGACUUGAAAACUUAAGCUUUGAGUUUUCUGACCCUGGUGAGCUAUUGUGCUUCUCUGAAUUUUUGUCUUGGUAAUAAAAUACAAUUCUGACAGGGGUUCUGCUACAUGCUGAUGAUCUUGAUCUUUUCUGGCAGUCUGCCAUCAAAACAAAUGUUUAUCAAAUGCUUUUCAAAGAAAUGUUUAUCAAAUGUUUUUCAACUUUAUAUGCGGUAACUUUCAGUGAGUAGGGACAGUAGGUGUUUCUUUUUCCCCCUAAUAUCCUGGUUAAAAAUAAAAAGUGAGGGAUUCUGUACAAUAGUGCCGAUCUCUAGCAGUGAUCCUCAGCCUGGUUCCAACAUUAAUUUCACUCACGUUUCUUCCCUUAGAGAACUGCAUAGUCUUUAAAUGUGUUCUGCUUCUUACCCUUUUUUUCUGGGUCUCUAACUAAAGGCAUUGGGCGGUACCCCAUGCCACAGCCUGAAUGCUAUACUGCCCUGCAAUUUCCCCCACAAAAUUUGUCCAUCAGGAAAUAGGAAGAAAAUGGCCAGAUAAUUUUCUAGAACAUAAAACAGUCCAUUGCCCAGUUCCAGACAGAGUGCUUGUUCCUUGCUGAAAUCCCAGGAGCCCAACUUCUAAUGGUUGCAUUUUUNNNNNNNNUUUUUGGUCUUCUGGACUCUUACCACGUUUGAAGGCUCCAUCUAUCCUUCAAUUCCAAAGUUUGACAACUACCCACUCCUAGUAUUAGUAGGUUAUGUUACUGUUGCUGUUGCUGUAGCUCAAUGUCUGAUAGAAGUUGAUUUACUUGGGAUCACAGUUUAGAGGGAUGGACUCCAUCAUGGCCGGGAGGUGUGGUAGCCAGGAACAGCUUGGGCCAGGGCAGCAGGAAAUGGAAGCUCGUUGUACAUUUUCUUCACAUCUCUGGAGAUCAUAGGGUAGGCAGUGUGAUCCAGAAUCAGGGCCAAUCUGAAAUCCUCAAGGCUUCCCUUCCGCCAAUGCACUUCUUUCAUGAGCGAUUCACCUCCUAAAGUCUCCACAGACUCUCAAACUAUCACCGUCAGCUAGAGACCAAGUGUUCAAACCUGAGACUGUGGGAGUCAUUUUGUAUAAAAAUCCAAACAGCUGUUAAAAAUCAGAGAAGAUUCUUCUGUGAGAAAGGUCAUGAAGAGUUGGGCAUGAUUGGCUCAUUUAGGGCUGGCAAGAAAUCUGAAUGAUGGAGUCAAUAGGAAAACGAAAACAGAUGUUGAAAGACAGACACUUUGGAAAGAACCUAUGAUAGGAGGAAUAAUUAUCUUUGAAUUGGCUUCUUAGAUAUCAGGAAAUUAUUGAAAGUCCUUAAGAGAGGAAGCACUUAGCUGGCUCUGAAUUUUAUGGCAACCUCUGGUGUUUGCAUAGGUGGCAAAAUGCAACUGGGUUCAGGGAAUGUUCUUAUACAGCUUCUUAAGAGAUCCCCUCCACUUUGACAACUGUCUGAUAAUGAGCAAAUGAUUUAGCACAGUGUUAUUUUCCAUAACACAGCAAUGAUUGUGAAAACUGUCUCAGAAGUUUGCCGUGAUGGCUAAAUGACAUGUAAUCUAAGAAUUUAGAACAGCAGCUUAAUAUUUUCAAAGUCAACAUAAAUGAUUAUACAAAACCACAUGUGUAGAAAAGAAAUGUGAGCAAAAUGGUAAAUAGGUGCUUAUUUUGACCUGGGUAUAGUGACACAUGUCUGGCAUACCAGCAUUCAGGAUCAGAGGCAGGAGGAUUACAAACUUUAUGCCAGUAUGGCUAUGCACUAAGACCCUUCCUUUGUGAAGGAGAGAAAGAUCUAGAUUUUGGUAAGCUGCAGGUCAAGACAGGGGUCUAGGAAGGCUUGCUGGUGUCUAGUCCCAGAUCAGCUUCAUGUUAAUCUCUCUAGGGUUCUUUUUCUUUCUCUGUAAACUAGAAGCAACAGCAAUACCUGUUUCAUGGAGUGUCACAUGUGGUAUGUAUGGCGUGUCAAUGGGAUAUAUAUGUGAAAUGUCACAUGAGAUGUGUUCAUCCAAGAGUCCAGGAUCUAAUGAGCAAUUAGAAAGGGUAGCUUUCAUUAUUAAAAAAUGAUUCAUUUGAAGCUUGUAAUCUCAUGGCUCUUUACCCCCAUAAUUCCUGGCAUUUACCACAUAACUCACGGGAUGCAAAAAGCAAAACCUUUGCAAUCAAGUAAAGCUGAAAUGAAUCUCUAAGCAAAUGUCCGUUGUGUAAUUUUUCUCAAAUUAGCCCUGUCUCAUUCUAAGAAAAUGCUUUCAUUUCAAAAGGUGCGUUGGAUGUAAUUUACAUGAAGUGAUGUACAGUAAGCUUGUGGAAGCUGGAUUCCAUAAUUCCAUAAUUCCUUUUCUUCAUUCUUCUCUCGCAGUUACUCUGAUAUGUGAAGAAGUCAUGCAAAUUAGCCUAAGUAUGCCUAACCUAACCAAGAUUGAGGAGACCCUCAUUUUCAUAGCAAAUAGAAUAGGCAGUGCUUUAAAUAGCAAGUUGUGAGUUCAGACC